AAACGCAAGCUAUAUAUAAUAUCGCUAAAUAGGCAUUAUUAACGAUUCUGACAAGAAGUAAACCUCAUUAUGCGCGUUAUUAGCGUAGGUGGCAUUCAAAUUUCAUCGACAUUACAUCAUCGUUUUAUAAAAAUAUUUUCCAUGUGUUUACACGAAUACACUAUUAAUAUUAUUGUGUUUUUAGAAGUUUCCACAUCACACAUCAAGUCUCUCUCCUCCAGAGAUUUCCAACUUUCCGUAAAUUCCGUAACGUUUUCCGUAUUUUCGUGUGAGGAACCGCUGACGGGUGUGUUUGUGGGCGGAAAAACACGGAAUUUACGGAAAGUUGGAAAAGUCUGCAAAGGAGAAAGCAUAAUGUAAGUAAACACUUCAACAAUGCUUGGUAGCCCUGUCUACAAGCUGAUCAAAAUUUCGAAAAAAGUUGCUGAAAAA
rnacentral:lncRNA from 1 species